rnacentral:rRNA from 1 species
UACGUAGGGGGCAAGCGUUGUCCGGAUUUAUUGGGCGUAAAGAGCUUGUAGGCGGUCUGUCGCGUCUGCUGUGAAAAUCCGGGGCUCAACCCCGGACUUGCAGUGGGUACGGGCAGACUAGAGUGUGGCAGAGGAAGGUGGAAUUCCAGGUGUAGCGGUGAAAUGCGUAGAGAUCUGGAGGAACACCGAUGGCGAAGGCAGCCUUCUGGGCCAACACUGACGCUCAUGCACGAAAGCGUGGGGAGCAAACAGG